UUACCAAUUAGUUACUACCAGACCUAGGUUUCUCCACCUGACAAUUAUGAACCACAGACUCAAAUGUAGGUCUUGAUGAGCUGCAACAUUUAUUUAUAGACAAACCAAAACCCACACUGUACAUUUACUA